rnacentral:rRNA from 1 species
GGACUACCCGGGUAUCUAAUCCUGUUCGCUCCCCACGCUUUCGCUCCUCAGUGUCAGUAUCGGCCCAGAGUACCGCCUUCGCUACGGGUGUUCCUCCUGAUAUCUGCGCAUUUCACCGCUCCACCAGGAAUUCCGUACUCCUCUACCGAACUCUAGUCAUGGCAGUCUCGAAUGACCCCUCCAGGUUGAGCCUGGAGAUUUCACAUCCGACUUACCAAACCACCUACGAGCUCUUUACGCCCAAUAAAUCCGGACAACGCUCGCCCCCUACGUAUUACCGCGGCUGCUGGCAC